CCUACGGGUGGCAGCAGUGGGGAAUAUUGGACAAUGGGCGCAAGCCUGAUCCAGCAAUGCCGCGUGUGUGAAGAAGGCCUUCGGGUUGUAAAGCACUUUUGUGGAAAGCGCGGUACCGUAAGAAUAAGCACCGGCUAACUUCGUGCCAGCAGCCGCGGUAAUACGAAGGGUGCAAGCGUUAAUCGGAAUUACUGGGCGUAAAGCGUGCGUAGGCGGUUCGUUAAGUCUGUCGUGAAAGCCCUGGGCUCAACCUGGGAAUGGCGAUGGAUACUGGCGGGCUAGAGUCAGGUAGAGGGUGGUGGAAUUCCCGGUGUAGCGGUGAAAUGCGUAGAGAUCGGGAGGAACAUCUGUGGCGAAGGCGGCCACCUGGACCAUACUGACGCUGAGGCACGAAAGCGUGGGGAGCAAACAGGAUUAGAUACCCUUGUAGUC
rnacentral:rRNA from 1 species